UACGGGGGGAGCAAGCGUUGUUCGGAUUUACUGGGCGUAAAGGGCGCGUAGGCGGCCAGCGCAAGUCAGUUGUGAAAUCUCUGAGCUUAACUCGGAAAGGUCAACUGAUACUGCGCGGCUAGAGUGCGGAAGGGGCAACUGGAAUUCUUGGUGUAGCGGUGAAAUGCGUAGAUAUCAAGAGGAACACCUGCGGCGAAGGCGGGUUGCUGGGCCGACACUGACGCUGAUGCGCGAAAGCCAGGGGAGCGAACGGG
rnacentral:rRNA from 1 species